rnacentral:rRNA from 1 species
GCAGGCUUAACACAUGCAAGUCGAGCGGGCAUAGCAAUAUGUCAGCGGCAGACGGGUGAGUAACGCGUGGGAACGUACCUUUUGGUUCGGAACAACACAGGGAAACUUGUGCUAAUACCGGAUAAGCCCUUACGGGGAAAGAUUUAUCGCCGAAAGAUCGGCCCGCGUCUGAUUAGCUAGUUGGUGAGGUAAUGGCUCACCAAGACGACGAUCAGUAGCUGGUUUGAGAGGAUGAUCAGCCACAUUGGGACUGAGACACGGCCCAAAC